rnacentral:tRNA from 1 species
GGCUCUGUGGCUUAGUUGGUUAACGUGCCUGUUUUGUAAUUAAGAGACCUUCGGUUCAAAUCCCAGCAGGGCCU